GUGAUUUCUUAGGACUUUAAUAGUAUAGCUGAUGUUAGGUCAUUAAUGAGGGCAGAUUUAAAAUGGAAGCCUGAGAAUGUGAUUUUAAGUGUAUUUUUUCUCCUCUAUAUAAGAGUUGUAAAAUGGAAAUCUAUCAAUUACCUGCUUAAGAAUCUCUCGUAGCUUCCUUUUGCCUAGCAUAUAAAAUCUGAACUGAAUCUUUUAUUCAAUAACUGACAUCAAUGUUUUCUUCUUUUCUCAUUCUUCUUAAUACUUUUUCAGCUCAAGUCAGACUAUUUUCAAGUCUGGAUUUUUUUUUCAGCCCUACCUUUGUAUUGUCAUCCAUAUUGUCUGUCUGCCUGAACCUCUUUAUUUUUCUAUCAACCCCUAUUUUUCUCCAUCUUAAAGCUCUAAUUCGUAGCCCUGCUCUAGGAGGCCCUCCAUGAUUGAUACUAACUGUGGCUGUUGUUUGGUUCUUGGCUUGGUUGGUUUUUAUUACUCUGGGCCCCCUCUUCUAGCUCUUUUAUUAAUACCUCAGAGAAUAGUUUGCAAAAACUAUGGCAACUUUACUAAUAUUUAGCUUUCAUCAUGGACUUAAUGGCAAAUGAGUGACAAACUUGUCUCCCUUGACAGUAGGCAUGAUUUCUGCUGCCUAUUGAAUUUCAAUGCUAUUGUGUUCUAUUUAAAAUUACUAAAACUCUCAUUUAUCUAUGAAGCCCUUAGCCCCACAGAUCUGCCUCAUGUGCUCAGUUUGUCUGUUUUAUAGUGUCUGUGCUCCUCAGGAGUCUAGAUAUUUUGGCCUGUGAAAACUUUCUCCCCUAGGGGUUUUGAUGACACCAUUUUAUGGUGAGGUGUCUCCUCUGGUAAGUUCUGAAUAUGGUGACACAUACAUUUAUUAAAUUAAUUUUUAAAAUUAGAAAUACAUAAACAUGUUAAAAAUCUCAACUGUUGUAUAGUGAAAUGCAAUCUUCCUUCCUCUUCUUCCUCCAGUCUCCUAGUUUCCCCGUCCAGAAGCAGUUACAGUUGUGUGCCACCUUCUAGAAAAAUUCACUGCAUAUACAAGAGAGGGGGAGAAAGCUAUGGAUUUUACUGGUUCACUUAAUAUAUUUGGAGCUUGUGUCCUAUCACUCAUAUUUUUAAGGACAUAUAGGAUUCCACUUUUUGAAUGUACCUUAAUUUCUUUAACCAGUUCUGUACUGAUGGGCAUUUAUCAUAUUAUCACUUUUCAUUCUUAUAAGCAGUACGUAUACAGUUUUGAAAAUGUAGAUGAUAUCUGUUGCAUAGACUACUAAAAAUAAAGUUGCUCAGCCAAAGGGAAGCACAUUUUAAAUUUUUAUGAAUUUGGGUAAAUUUCCCUUCAAUGAAGUUGCAUCAAUUUCCAUUCCCACCAAGAAUAUGUGACAGCUGUAUCUGGCAAACAUAUGUAUUUCCCUGGAACUUUGAUCUAUUUGAAAGAAGACUAGGAACACAUUUACAGUACUGUUACCAACAUCUUCUUCACUUUUGAUUUUUCUGUAAUUCUCCCUGCCAAAAUUUAACAGAACGCUGUCAUUUUCCUGACUCAUCGUCCUUUUAUUUCCACUUUGUAAAAAUGUCUGUGUUUGGUUUUAUGUUUUUAGGGGUGGCAUAGAAUCUUCCACCAGAACCCUGGAAGUGUAGGUCAGGAUGUUAGAAAUUCUUCUAAUAAAUAGUGUCCAGGAAACACUUCAUUAGAGUAAUUCUCUGGCACAGGGAGUCCUGGGUGGUGGCUCUUGUGACAAGCCCCUUUACCUAUGGUAUGUUGGAAAUUUAACCACAACCUUAGGGCAUGCAAUGAUUGUCUUUCCUUUAGGUGUUUAACUCAUAUAAUGUCUUAAAGAUAAAUGGCACCAGUAAUAUUUUAACAAUGUUCGGGUAUCCUUUGUUUCCAUAGUUACCUGGGUUUCUGUUAGCUUAAGACUUUAGAUGUGUAGCUUCAAACUCUGGGUUCUUCUUCAACUAGGUCAAGAGUUCACACAUUUUUCCACCCACUGGGCAGGCAAACCAAGUUGUAAUUGUUGCUUAUGAAGAGGAUCCUCAAAUGGUACAACACUCAAUUAGGUUAGAUUAAAUUCAGAGCAAUAAAAUAUUUCUGAGUAUGUUCUCAGAGAAACCCACAUCUUAGUUUUCCUUAUCUGAGAUCAUCUUUACCAGUUAAGAGGGCACACUUCAAAUAAUACAAACAUUCUUUAUAAAUUCAUUAUUUCCUAAAUCCCUUCCUAGUUUCAGUUUUGAUGAGCUCUUUUCAUAACUCUAGGUACUUUAGAUAUGCUUCUCUCAGCCUCGAUUUGGCUUUUAGGCUAAAGGGUUUUCCUAAUCACAGCAAGUGGGUCAAAAAUUAGGAUAGGCUUCCCAUGAAAGACUAAGUACAAUAAUUGAACAAAAGGGGUGAAAGUUGAUUAAAGUGAUGCGAGGAGUAAAUGGAUUCACUUUUACAGGAUCUUCUGAAAUCUGAGAUAAAGGACUGACUCCUUGGCUAAUCUCAGUGCAAUUACCUACUCAUGGAGAUCAAUACUUUUUUACUAUUAAAAAAUAGUGAAAAUUUUUAAGAUUGGUUAAGGAAGAGUAAUGUGUUAUUAGGGGAGGCAAGGAAAACUUAGAUCUAAUUUAGAUUUCUAUGAAAACAGUGGGCAUCAAUAGGAGAACAUAAAAAAGAGACGUGAGUAUUAGGAAAAUACCAAAAGGUUUGGUUAGAAACAAAUCCUCUUGUGAUAGGAGAUAAGACUGAAGACCAAACAGAAAUUAUAACUGCAUAGAUCUUGGUUUUAUUCAUUCAUUUGCUCAUUCAGCCUGUUCACUGGCUCCAACAUAGCUCUUGAUUCUAUCCCAUGUGACAUAUUCAUUGACCAACCAUGUGUUUUGGACAGAUCAGCAGCUAGAGAUCCAAAAACGACUGGUUAGAUGGAAUGUCUUAGGAAAUAGUGUCAUCAGUGGUGUACAAAAUGGUAUUAAACUUUCCCUGGAUGAUGGAUUAAAGAGAGAACAAAUUAAAGGCAUAGAUAUAGCCAUCUGCUAAUCAGGGUUUCACAAGGCAUCUGUACCUUAGGCCAUUCCUUUUGGGAUUUCCACUUGCAAAAAAUAUAGUGAAAUAAAACUUAAACUGAAUAGAAGAAAGAAUUUCUUAGACUCAUUCACAUUCAAUCAAUGUUUACUGAGUGCCUAAUAUGUGCCAAAUAUUAUACUAAAAUGCCGAGGAUACAGCAGAGGGACAAAAAUUCCCUGCAUUUGUGGUGCUUACAUUUUACUGAUACAGUUAAUGAAGAUCAUAAAAAUUUUAAACACUGGAGCAGUGAAGUGAGAUUAGGAAUCCCUGUGCCUUUAAAGAUUGAGAGACUAUCAUUUCCUUGGAAAGAAUUAUGUAUUAUCUUGCAUGUAUGUGUGAAGGCAAAUGAGUAAAGGAAAUGCUUCUUCAGCAACCUCUUUCAAUUCUCUAAAGUUAUUUUCAUUACCUAAAUAUUAAAGAGUGAGAAGGACUUGAGGGGAAAAAAAAUAAAGCUUUUUUUUUGUUGUUUUUUUGAGACAGGGUCUCACACUGUCACCAAGGCUGGAGUGCAGUGGUGCAAUCUCAGCUCACUGCAGCCUUGAUGUCCUGGGCUCAAUCAAUCCUCCCUCCUCAGCCUCCAGAGUAGCUGGGACCACAGGCAUGCGCCACCGUGCCUAGUUAAUUAUAAAACUUUUUUUAGAGAUGGAGUUUUGCUGUGUUUCCUAGGCUGGUCUCAAAUUCCUGUGCUCAAGUGAUAUGCCCACCUCAGGCUCCCAAAGUGCUGGGAUGACAGGCGCGAGCCACUGCACCUGGCCAAAAUAAAGCUUGACCUGAGUUGAUAUGAGGGUGAUGAGACUGAGUAAAAAGCCCAUAGGAUUCCAGCCUGUGUUCAUGUAAGUAUUCAGAACAAGAUAAUCUCUGCUACUCUCUACACUACUUUGAUUUAGGAGUGACUGUACUUGGCUUUAACAACCUCACUUAGGAGAGAUAUUGAGAAAGCCAAAUAUGACAACAUGUGGCUAUUCAGCAUAAUGCAGAAUCUGAAAAACACAAUACGUGAAAAUUGAUUCAACAAACUGGAGGAGAUUACGUGUUUGUUCUGAGGCUAUGUAAGCUUGAGUCAUGGUUCUGCUCUUUGCCCUCCGUGCAACCUUGGAAUAUUUUUACUUUAUUUCUUUGUUCUGUUUCCUCACAUAUGAAACAAAGAUAAUAACAUUGCCUACUAUAUCAAUUAGUAUAAUUAUAGCUUCAGGUAAUGGAAAAGCCAGGUAAUUUGGCUCAGUUCACAAAGACGUCACUUGUUUACUUAAUGAGAAAUCUAGAAGUACAUGGCUUAGGGUUAGUCUGGUGGUUCCACAAUGUGAGGAUUCUAGGUUCUCUAUGAUUUUCCCGACUUUACCUCCACUGUUGAAAAUGGCAGUGGUGGCUCCAGAAAUCUCAUUUUCAUAAUUUCAAGUCCAAAAUCUGGAAGAAGUGAGACCAGGUGGGGGUGUAAGACAGAGAGAAAACCCUCCAAACAUGUCUCUCUUCUUUUCAAAGGAAGAAAAAAUGUUUCCAAGAAUCCCUCUAGCAGAUGUUCUUCUAUGCCUUCGUAGCCAAAAUGGAAUUCCAAGGCCACUUCUAGCUGUAAGAGAGGCUGGGAAACAAAGUAUUUGGUUUGAUAUCCUCUUUAGCUGGAGAACAGGCAAGAAAGAUGGCACUAACAAAGCUGAACACACCGGCAUUGCAAAGGCUGUCUACCAAUUGCUUAAGUCCGAUGAGAUAGAAUACAUGUACAAGUAGGACAAAGUAGAUUAUUAUUUUAUCACAGAUUUAUUAUAGGCAGCAAGGAUAAACAGAAGCCUAGAAACCAGAGCAAGCCAGCUUCCUAAGGCUCAGGAAAGCUGCCCAGGGUGGAUGGAGUUCCGUGUGUGCAUGUCCCAUGUUGCACCACAACUGAGGGACCCUGAAAAGCAUGCUGCCCUGGGUUUAUAUAACCUGGGUGACAUUUGGCACGCUAAGCUCAAGCAUUGCAGAACAUCCUGUUCUAGGAGAAACGAGGACACAGUUUGGGUUGUUCUGGGCAUUUCCUCCUUAUCUCAGGAUGUUGAAUUCUCGGUACAUUCUGCCUGAGAAUUACAUGCAAGAGAGGGAAGAUCUGGGUCAGCCAACAUGAUCUGUCAUCUGGAGACCUGCCCUCUUGUACAUCUCAGAAUAUUACUGUAAAUAUUAAGUGGGAAGAAACGUGAAAUAAUUUCCAUGGCAUGUAAACAUUCAAAAAUGAUAACAAUUAUUUGUCAUCUUUAUUUGCACAGAAGAAGAAGCAUUUUAAUGGAGAGACUUUUUGUGAUGCGUGUACAGAGGACAUUAUUAGUGAAAUAACAGCAAACUUGCUAUUAAUGAGAUCUGCUCAAAAUCUCUAUGAGGUAGUGAAUGCCCCAUCAUGAAGAUUUUCAUGCAGAAUUGGGAUGACCUCUGUUCUUCAGCCUGCCAGGGGAGCGAGGUGUUAAAUCUCAUGAGAUUCUUUUACCAAGUCCAAGUUUUAAAUAAAUGAAACUUGUACAGACUCCAACAUACCAUCUUGAGAUAACCUCAGGCCCUGAAGUGUAUCGACAAGCAGAAUGAUCUCAGCCAAGUUGUAAAACUGUCUUUGAAAAGAAUAGCUGGAUGAAAAACAUUAGCAGCAACUGAAUCAAGAGAAAACGUGACUUCAAACUGAAAGGCACUCUCAUGGAUUUCAGAUGCUUUUAGAAUCAAACCUGGAAAGGAUACAAAAAGCAGAAGCAAAACCAACAUUUGGGAGAAGAACAGAUUAAGACAGUAGCUUAUAUUGAAACAUCACUUCUCAUUUGCUGUUUGGACAAUGGUGAUGGAACUGCUGCUUUAUUGCCCACGGAGAAGCGAAGUGAAGAGUCUAAAGUGGGUCUUGCAGUUACACUGGACAAAAGAAGUUUGAAACUGAGGCUUGGUCCUGAAGAAAACAUAGAGAAGCCUGACAGAUUAUAUAUAUUCACAGCUUUGACUUAAAGGUUGCUGGUUGACCAAUAAGUAAUACAAGAAGAAAUGGUCUUUUCUGGAAUUGUCCUUCUUUCCAGGUAUCAAUGGUGAGCAGAAGAGGAGCAGGGAAUGAUGAAAGACCACACAUUCUCCAAAAGUCACUAAGCACUGUCUGCAGAUGGAACAUUCAUAUUUUCACAUAGUAUAAGUCAUAUGAUCUUUGAUCCUCCAUGUAUUGCUAUCCAGCCAUUUACUUUAGAAUGUCAGCCUUUAUACUGAUAUCACACACAUGUUGUAAAAUGUAGUGAAGAUAAACGGGUGAAGUUAAACUUACAAUGCUUUUGCUGUUAUCCAUAAAAAUGCAAUAGGUAUUGCAUAGAAUUAGUUACAAGCACAAAACUGUGAUACCCUAUAUGCCCCUGUUACAAGAAAGUUGUCAUUUUACAUUAUGGGUAUUUAUUCGAUAUUUUCAUAGUUUAAUUACUAACAAAGCAUUAAUAAUGCCAGAUUGUGCUGACAAACAUUGCAGUCUCUGAAUAGGAGAAAGAAUAUAUUCUUUGCACCAUUAUACAAUGAUUUAGAACUUUAAUAGUGUGCUGGGGAAAAAACAUGUAUCUGUAACCUGAAAUAGUUGUUUUACCUCCCUGAGUACAAAAUAUGUCACACAUUCUCUCCUAAAUGUAUUCUCUAUUUUUACCAGUCAUUUUGUUGCUAAAAUGUAAGAUAUGGGGAUGGGAUGUGGGUGAUUGUCUCCGUCCUUUUGGGCUUCUAUAACUAAAAUACCUUAGACUGGGUAAUUUAUAAACAACAGGAAUUUAUUUCUCACAGUUCUGGGGGCUGGAAAGUCCAAGAUCAAGGCUGUGGUGGGGUUUGGCUGGCGAGGGCUCCAUCCUUCUUGCUAUAUCUUCACAUGGUGGAAGGAGCAAACAAACUCCCCCAGCCCUCUUUUACAAGGGCACUAAUAUUAUUUGUGAGGGCUCCACUCUCAUGACUUAAUCACCUCCCCAAAGACCCUACUUCUUAAUACUAACACAUUGGGGAUUAAUCUUCAACAUAUGAAUUUUGGAGGAACACAAACAUUCAGACCAUAGCAAUGUUUAUUGGGGUGAAUGCUCAUUUAACUUUUCCCAGAACAAUCCCUGUUAAGUCUGCUAACCUCCUGUAGUUAAUGAUAAAAUUUCCUUCAUUUUCCGAAGUGUUCUUGUUUGGAUUAUAAAUUAUGUAAUUACCCUAAUGACAAUUAACUAGACAUUUUUUUUCUUACUGUAUAGCACCAGUAUGGGCAAUUGCAGUGGCUUUCAAACUUGACUACAACUCAGGGAGAAAUACAUUUUUCAUCAUAACGUAGUACACACACACACACACACACACACACACACACACGCACACACACACACACAUACACUAGAUAAAGCAAAAGCUUUAGGAAAUGGUACUUGGAUAUUUUCAAAUAUAUUUUAGUCUGUUUUUUAAUUAAAAAUCUCUAGUCAUGAUACAUUAAAUUGACUUAUUGACCCACAGCUUGAAAAAACACCAAUAUUUUGGAUGUGUUUUAAGGUCAUAGAACACGCCUUCUGAUUUUUUUCCUUCCCUAGGUAAUCCUAUGCAAGUUGCCAAUCUUCUCUAAACAACACUCUUCUUCAUCUAUAAAGUAAAUAUUAAUACCUACCUGAAGGUGGCAGAGAGAGUUAACUGAGAUAAUUUGGUUAAUGAGCCUGAAAUCUAGUCAACACUUACUAAAGGUAAUUUCUUCUCCUCUCUUCCGCUUCUAAACCAACAGGACACAGCUGAAGUUCACAGGUUUGUAAAAGUGAAAAAAUAUUUUUCUUAACCCCCUGACCUCUAAAGUUUGGUCAGAGUGUUUAGCCACUGAUAAAACAUCUUUAAGCACUGUUACUUCUAUGUUCAACUAAAAGAGUCACUUUUCAGUAAUUUCCGGUCAAGCCCAUCACAAUAGCACUUGCAGCUUCUCAAAAGAAAAGAAAGAAAGAGAGAGAAAGAAAGGAAGAAAGAGAAUUGAAGGAGGAAAGAAGGAAAAAAAUCAUGAUGAAGAUUUUAAAACAUGUCUUAUUGAGGGAUGGGAUGGUGAGGAAGUUGAUUAUAGUGAUGGAUGUGACAGACAGGGCCCGUACUUCUGUUUCUGUUCUCAAACUAACAGUUUUCACACAUAACCGUUUUCACACAUAACACAUUAGUAGAAUUUCUUUUGAAUAUUUGCCUUGGAAAUAAAACAAUAAUAAUAUAGCAUUUAUUAUAUUUAUUAUAUAUAGAGUGUGUGUGUGUGUGUGUCUGUGUGUGUGUGUAUCCCACAUGUCCACAUGAGAAAUAAUGAAAGAAGAUGGAGCCCAAGUAAGAGAGUCCUGAUGCCCCAUAAUGCAGAGAGACAAAGAAGUGAUGAAAUCAAGUACUCUACCUCUGGGCCGCCAGAAUCCAGGCCUGGUUCCAGAGUCCUCUGGUUUUCACCGUGUUGGGGUGGGGCCUCCCCGGGUGCACAGCUUUUCUGCACUGGUUGGCAUCUACUGAACCUUAGGUGAUCACAGCAGUGGUAAAGACAAGCCAGCUUCCGUCUUUCCAUAGUUUGUUCCCCUGUACUUCAGGAGGGAGGGGAGCCCCUCUAUGGAAUGCAAUACACACUAGGCAUCCUAUCACUAUGUAAGAACUCAUCUUGCUCCCUCAUUUCACAUUACAUCUUUGACUGUCUUGCUCAGUUGUUUCACCUUGGCUAGUUUUUACUCUUUGGCGAGUACUCUCACAACUCUCUUGUAGGCAGGAGCCCAUUUUCUUUUUCUGAGUACUCUGGACUCCUUGCAUGGUGCUUCCUGGGCAAGGGGUGCUCAACAAAUUGUGCUGAUAAUUAAGUCAUUCACUCAAAAUAUAUUUAUUAAGCACCUAGUGACCAAGACAGAAAAAAGUUACUAUUGACCUUCAAAUCACCAAAUCUAAUGAUCAUUCCUUACUGCUCAUCUUCCUCCACCAUUGCUACCUUAGAGGCCUCCCGUGCCUGCCUCCAUUUCCCAGACUUACUGCUUGAUUCUCCCUGGCAAGCUUUCCCUUCACCAUUUUUUUUUCAGCACUUGUAAGGAACUGAAUCUGUCCCCAAUAGUACACAGUUUGAGUUAGAGCCAGGACUAGAACUCAGGCCUGCAUAUAAUCAAAGAUCAGAAAACGGCCAAAUCUUGGUGUUUCUAUUCACAGGGAGGAAACCCAGAUGGGCCUACUCACAAUACAUGCUUCCAAAUGAAAGAACGUUUUUCCCCCUAAGGACAUUGUUAGGACACUGUCUAGCUAGAAGAUAUUCAGAGAAAAUUCACUCCUUUACCUGCCCUAGGGAAAUGGGAAAAUUCAAUGUUUGAGCCAUUUACCCAAAAGAGUAAUCCAUGCUGGAAAUUUUGCUGAAAGUAUUCUUUUAAAAGGCCCUUCUGUCUUUAUUAUGACGAUAAGACUGCUGAGUCUGCCCAAGCAUAUGAGGUUGCAAAGAAUAUUUCUUUUUAUUCAGACCUUGUAUUCUCUACAUGAUGAAAGGAUUCUUGGCACAUAGUUGGCAAUUACUAUCUAGGUUUUCUGCAUAACAUAGGUUUUUUAAACUAAGCUUUUAACUCAAUAGACAUCAGGCUCCAAUGAAAAUACAUGUGGCCUAACACGAGCAGAAAUAAACACAAUUCUAAUCAACUUAACUGUUGACAAAAGCAUGUGGUUUCAUUGCUUGCGGCCAAAGUUGUAAGAGUGGACUCUGAUUUCUUGCAGGAACACCCCUCAUUUAUGUGUGCAAAUAGGGUAAUUAAGUGUCCAAUUACCAGAUUUGCAUUGGCAAAUGGGGGCUUUGUGUGGGUAAAAUUCUCCAUGGUUUGGGACCAGCUGAAACUUAGGUCUUUUCUUUUUGGAUCAAUCCCCCAACAAUAACACGGGCAUGAUGAAGUUCCCUUCUUGUCCUGAUCUGAAGCCAUGGCUGAAGACUUCCCUUAUUUUGGUAAUUCAGUGAAGCGGAGAGCCAAAGUUAGGAUCUGGGGCCUUUUCUUCCUUACUGUCUACUCUGAAAAAUAAUUAAGCAUUUCAAGUAUUUUCAGACUGACUUUUUUUUUUUCCUGCUGGCUCUGUAGAAUUGAUUACUAAGGUGAAAUACUUGUAAAUAUUCCUUUUAAAAAUUUAACCAUAUGGAAGCAUUAAGUUGAAAGACACUUCAUAAAACAACUUUAUUCUUUUCU
rnacentral:lncRNA from 10 species